GACGAACGCUGGCGGCGUGCUUAACACAUGCAAGUCGAACGAAGAGCGAUGGAAGCUUGCUUCUAUCAAUCUUAGUGGCGAACGGGUGAGUAACGCGUAAUCAACCUGCCCUUCAGAGGGGGACAACAGUUGGAAACGACUGCUAAUACCGCAUACGAUCUAACCUCGGCAUCGAGGAAAGAUGAAAGGUGGCCUCUAUUUAUAAGCUAUCACUGAAGGAGGGGAUUGCGUCUGAUUAGCUAGUUGGAGGGGUAACGGCCCACCAAGGCGAUGAUCAGUUGCCGGUCUGAGAGGAUGAACGGCCACAUUGGGACUGAGACACGGCCCAGACUCCUACGGGAGGCAGCAGUGGGGAAUCUUCAGCAAUGGACGAAAGUCUGACGGAGCAACGCCGCGUGAGUGAUGACGGCCUUCGGGUUGUAAAGCUCUGUUAAUCGGGACGAAAGGCCUUCUUGCGAACAGUUAGAAGGAU
rnacentral:rRNA from 1 species